AACGGUGCAUCUGAUGAUCCGCGGGGUCUCCAUUUGUGAGCCCGCGGGCAAUCUCCGGGAAACCUGUAAGACUAUGGGUUCCGGGGAAAGUAUGGUUGCAAAGCUGAAACUUAAAGGAAUUGACGGAAGGGCACCACCAGGAGUGGAGCUUGCGGCUUAAUUUGACUCAACACGGGAAAACUCACCCGGACCGGACACUAUGAGGAUAGACAGAUUGAUAGCUCUUUCUUGAUUUGGUGAUUAGUGGUGCAUGGCCGUUCUUAGUUCGUGGUAUGAAUUGUCUGGUUAAUUCCGAUAACGAACGAGAUUCUAACCUGCUAAAUAGUCCAUGUGUAAUCCUGUGUAGUUUGGGCGUAUGCUUACUUCGGUUUGCUAUGCACUGCUAUACGAGCAUAUGGUACUUCUUAGAGGGAUUGGUGGAUAUCCAAGCCACACGAGAGAGAGCAAUAACAGGUCUGUGAUGCCCUUAGAUGUUCGGGGCCGCACGCGUGCUACACUGACAGUGGUAGAGAGUUUGGUAUCCUCAGGCGAAAGCUGGGGGCAAACUUUUCAAUUACUGUCGUGCCUGGGAUCGGGGUUUGUAACUAUCCCCCGUGAACCAGGAAUUCCUAGUAAGCACAAGUCAUCAGCUUGUGCUGAAUACGUCCCUGCCCUUUGUACACACCGCCCGUCGCUACUACCGAUUGAAUGGUUUAGCAAGGUCAAUGGAUCGACUGCAAAUUGGUGAGAACUGAUUGCGGUUGAGAAGCUGACCGAAC
rnacentral:rRNA from 1 species